GUGUGUGUGUGUGUGUGAGAGAGAGAGAGAGAGAGAGAGAGAGAGAGAAUUUUAAUAUUUAUUUUUUAGUUUUUGGCGGACACAACAUUUUUGUUUGUAUGUGGUGNCUGGCAUGUGUGCGGCCCAGGUUCGAUCCUCAGCACCACAUACAAACAAAAAUGUUGUGUCCGCCAAAAACUAAAAAAUAAAUAUUAAAAUUCUCUCUCUCUCUCUCUCUCUCUCUCUCUCUCUCUCUCUCUCUCUCUCUCUUU
rnacentral:miRNA from 1 species